UACGUAGGGCGCAAGCGUUGUCCGGAAUUACUGGGCGUAAAGGGCGCGUAGGCGGGUCGUUUAGUUAGAGGUGAAAGCCCAGGGCUCAACCCUGGAAUUGCCUUUAAUACUGGCGGCCUUGAGUAUGGCAGAGGUGUGUGGAACUCCGAGUGUAGAGGUGAAAUUCGUAGAUAUUCGGAAGAACACCAGUGGCGAAGGCGACACACUGGGCCAUUACUGACGCUGAGGCGCGAAAGCGUGGGGAGCAAACAGG
rnacentral:rRNA from 1 species